rnacentral:lncRNA from 1 species
CGGCACAGAGAGAGAGAAGGUUUCUGUUCUUCCUGCAGGUUCUGAAAGAGGACACAAAAGAAGAGUAACAAGCGUCCAUAAGUACAGGGAGAAGAAGACAAAGGAGGGGUCUUUGCUUCGUCCAAUAGGAGGGGGGCCUUCUCUCUCUUCCUUGGUCAACACCGGGCACACAAGAAUCCAGAGAGAGAAUAGAGGCUAGAGGUAUUUUCUUCGCGGUCUCGGCUUCACGACUCC